rnacentral:rRNA from 1 species
UAAACGAUGUCUACUUGAAGGUUGUGGCCUUGAGCCGUGGCUUUCGGAGCUAACGCGUUAAGUAGACCGCCUGGGGAGUACGGUCGCAAGAUUAAAACUCAAAUGAAUUGACGGGGGCCCGCACAAGCGGUGGAGCAUGUGGUUUAAUUCGAUGCAACGCGAAGAACCUUACCUACUCUUGACAUCCAGAGAAGUUACCAGAGAUGGUUUCGUGCCUUCGGGAACUCUGAGACAGGUGCUGCAUGGCUGUCGUCAGCUCGUGUUGUGAAAUGUUGGGUUAAGUCCCGCAACGAGCGCAACCCUUAUCCUUGUUUGCCAGCACGUAAUGGUGGGAACUCCAGGGAGACUGCCGGUGAUAAACCGGAGGAAGGUGGGGACGACGUCAAGUCAUCAUGGCCCUUACGAGUAGGGCUACACACGUGCUACAAUGGCGUAUACAGAGGGCUGCCAACCAGCGAUGGUGAGCGAAUCCCACAAAGUACGUCGUAGUCCGGAUCGGAGUCUGCAACUCGACUCCGUGA